rnacentral:rRNA from 1 species
AGUGAACGCUGGCGGUAGGCCUAACACAUGCAAGUCGAACGGCAGCACAGUAAGAGCUUGCUCUUACGGGUGGCGAGUGGCGGACGGGUGAGGAAUACAUCGGAAUCUACUUUUUCGUGGGGGAUAACGUAGGGAAACUUACGCUAAUACCGCAUACGACCUACGGGUGAAAGCAGGGGAUCUUCGGACCUUGCGCGAUUGAAUGAGCCGAUGUCGGAUUAGCUAGUUGGCGGGGUAAAGGCCCACCAAGGCGACGAUCCGUAGCUGGUCUGAGAGGAUGAUCAGCCACACUGGAACUGAGACACGGUCCAGACUCCUACGGGAGGCAGCAGUGGGGAAUAUUGGACAAUGGGCGCAAGCCUGAUCCAGCCAUACCGCGUGAGUGAAGAAGGCCUUCGGGUUGUAAAGCCCUUUUGUUGGGAAAGAAAAGAAGCAGGUUAAUACCCCGAUGUUCUGACGGUACCCAAAGAAUAAGCAACGGCUAACUUCGUG